GUUUGCAUAACCAAAAGGUUUUUAAACAUUUAAAGAGAGAGAGAGAAAAGGACGCUUUGAAUGAUUAGAAGACAUUUGAAAAUAAUUUUCAUAACUUAUAGGGAACGUUGUUCAUUUCAGUCUCUAUAGAAAACAGUAAAGUUCAAAGUUAUGUGGUCUUUAAUAAUGUUCUCAGAAUGUCAGCAAAAACAUUUUUUAUACAUGGUUGAUGUAAUUUUUUUUUUUUAUUUUUUUUUAUUAAAUGUUUUAGUUAGAUGUUCGUCCAACAUUAUUUAAAUGGUACUACUUUUUUUGAAUGUUCAGAGAACGUCCAAAAUAGUGAUGUUUACAUAAUAUUUGAAAAAUGAUAAAAUGGAACGUUCCCUUGACAUUCGCUUAACCAAGAAAUAUUUUUUAAAGGGGUCUAUGAUGCGAUUUCAAUUUUUACUUUCUUUUUGGAGUGUUACAAGCUCUUCAAAGAGAUAUUAUUUAUAAAAGUUAAGACUUGUCCACGCCCUCCUAAAACACCUUGUUUAAACACGCCCCCACAUCUCUACGUCACUGUGUGGGAAGAUUUGCAUAACACCACCCAAAUGUUCACACAAAGAAAGAAGGCGUUACUUUUAUUCUCACUGUAGUGUUGUUGUUGCCGCGCCGACAUGUUGUGGAGACGCUGUGUGUUUCACUGUGAAAGCUAAACUACUUUGUUUAGCCUUCCAAAAGAGGACAAUAUCUGCUUUGUCAUGCCUAGAGCUGAUCUGUGCUGGUAGCUGAGGAAAUACAUCAACUUUGCACUGUGGGUCGCUGGAUCGGCUUUCGUGGACGAAGUGGAGUCCAGCCCAGGGUCGUCACAUGUGAUUGCCGCAACCCCGUCGGCCACGCCAUUCUCAAGCCUGCCGUGUGAGACACUAUGUGUUUCGUUGUGAAAGCGAAACUACUUUGUUUCGCCUUCCAAAAGAGGACACAACUAGAAAUCAGUGGUUAAGUUGUAUUUACAACACUGUUCCAGAACAGUUCAACCCAAAAUACAAUGGGUCUGUGCUUAAAGGCUGUUUCUAUAAAAUGGGGCAGUUCCAACUUUGCAAGGACAGUCUGGCGCUCCUGACUCACAGCCUAGUCUCUGGAGGAAGUCUUUCAGUCGCCCUUCACCUCGCUGUGGGUCCCGAUCAGCCCGCGUGUCGUCUGUCAAAUCUCCACACGGGAGAAGAAAAAGACUCAGGAUGAGGGAGAGACGCAUCUGAAUCCAUUCCCCGGGUAAUUCAUCUCCUGCUGUGUAAAAGAAAAAUGAGUGGAAAGAAAGUAAAUACGCUCCAUUCAGAGAGAGAUGCAUCAUGGGAUGCGUGUUGUCUUCCUCUCCACUGCCUCAAUCAUCUAAACAGAAACCAUCCCGCACCCUAGACACCCUGAUCAGAGGGAACACAAUGAAAUAACGAUAUUGGCCGUGACAUUUUGGUGUGAUUUUCAGAGGGAUAUUUAAUUGUAUUCAUCAUGGAGAGCCGACAGGAGCAAAAGAUGCAGAUUCUGACCGGGAAGAAGCCAUUAGUCAAAUUACACACACGUCUAGGUCUUUACAAAAGCCAAUAUCUGACACCAGCCUCUUUUAUUGCAGAAGAAUGAUGGCAAUUCUAGCGUGACACAUUCAUUUCUUUGGUUCAGAUGGCCUGUAUAAAGGGGUUAGGCGAGGAAUUUCUUUGUCAUCGCAGAACAAAGCGAAAACAGACACAGCAACAAUAAGGAAAUAUGAUAUUUUGUAAGAGGGAGUUUAACUAUAUCACAUGAUCACAGCAGAGUGCCAUAUGGUUAGUUUAAAAGUCAAGUACUCAAUAUACAAUCUACACACACAGAAGAAAG
ensembl:lncRNA